UAUUUUGUGAGACACGACGGACGCUGGUUUACUGUAGAGGUUGAGAGGAUAAAAAAACCGAGCGUGAGAAAACAUUUACCGAAAUUACUCGACGAAUCACUGUGCCAUAACCUUGCAACGAAACAAUUCCAACAGUCCAAGUUGCUAUCCUGACGACACAGACUCAAUUUAGCAGUGCGAGUGGCGCGAGUGAAACCGUGAGAACGAAAGCUUCGAGAGCGACAUAAACCCCAGCCAGCGCCAGCGGUCUCCAUUUUAACUUCGAGUCCGAUCUAUGCCUCACGUGUCUUGGACUGUCUCUCUCACAUGACCCGAGUGUUUGUUCCCGUGAUCAGCACUUCCAUCUACGCGUCUGUGUCAGUGAAUAUCACAUUUUAUUCCAACCCUGAUGGAUAUGCACCUCGAACAGAGUCUGGACACCGCGACAAGUCACGAAAAACAAGAAGAGGAGGUCGUCCAAUUAGAAGGAGACGGGGAAGGGGAGCAGACUGCUGUUACCAUAGGCAGUAUUCAGCAGGCCCAGGCAUUCGCGGACCACAACAUUCAGUACCAGUUCCGCUCUGAGGGUGGUCAGGUGACUUACCGCGUUGUCCAGGUAACUGACCAGCAGCUGGAGGGGAGAGAUGACGGGGGAGGGCCGGUUAGCGUGGUCUCCACGGCCGCCUUCCCCGGCGCUCCUCAAGCAGUGGCCCAGGCUGUGAUCCAGAACCCUUUCAGUAAUGGGGGUAGCCCCGUGGGAGAGACGCUGGGAGGGGAGACGCGCUUUGCCUACUUCCCAGCUACGGCUGUGAGCGACGGCACUGUGUCUGUGCAGACCACCUCCGACCCCACUCAGGCCGGGGGUCAGUUCUACGUGAUGAUGACCCCUCCUGACGUCUUGCAGACAGGCACACAGCGAACCAUAGCCCCGCGCACACACCCCUACCCUGAAGACGAAACCGAGAUGCUGCAACAUGACGGUUUAAACUGGAAAAUGGAUGGCCCACGGACACCCAGAGAUGAGAGGAGGAGAGCUCAACACAAUGAAGUUGAGAGGCGGCGGAGAGACAAGAUCAACAAUUGGAUCGUCACGCUCUCCAAAAUCAUCCCCGACUGCAACAUAGACAGCACCAAGACGGGGGCUGUAAGUCACUCUAGUAAAGGGGGCAUCCUGUCUAAGGCGUGUGACUACAUCCGAGAGCUCCGUCAGAAUAACCAGAGGCUCCUGGACGGUGUCAAAGAGGUGGAGAGAGUACAGGUGGACAACGAGCUCUGCAGACAGCAGGUAAAACAGCCUAGAAAGAAGGCAAUCCCAAAGAAUCCGAGUCCUAGCCUGGACCCGGAUCUGUUAGUGCCGUCGUGCCAACUUCUACGUGUAACGCCAGGGUAGUGGGUUCAAUUCCCGGGACCACCCAUACGUAGAAUGUAUGCACACAUGACUGUAAGUCGCUUUGGAUAAAAGUGUCCGCUAAAUGGCAUAUUUCUAUUGUCAGGCACAACAUAGGAGUUGGCAAGACUGCACAAACCGAUUUUGGGACCAGACUAUCACAUAGGAUCACAUUCCUGCGAACAGAAAGGGUUCAUGUUCGAACAAAUGUACGCGUUUGAUUACGUUUAACGUUCAAUUUUACGUCUGACGACCGACGUGCCGUUUUUACUUCAGAAUUAGGUUAUAGCAUAUAUUUGCACGGAGAGUGUUUUGCCUUUUCAUUCCUUACUGAAUCCCAAAGCACUGUUCUUCAUGUCCUCAUUCUAAUGCUCAGAAGUGAAGUCUCCAGUCCUGUGGGGGAGAGAGAGGCAAUCGAGGAGCUGAAGAAUGAGAAUGCCCUUCUCCGAGCUCAACUCCAGCAGCACGGCAUCGAGAGCGUGGGCGAGACGCCACCACAAUGAACGAGGGAGACUGGGAGAGCAGGACGGGUAGAAGGAAGAGGAGGACGAGGCAGACUGGAGAUGACACGUAGGAGCAGAACAAAACGAACGAGCUACUGACGAAUCACUCUUUUUCACAGUCUCUGACAGUUAAGACAGUCUUUCCUGGGCUCGUCUUUGAGGCUGCAUCCCGAGACUCUUGGCAGGCUCCUGCUGCUUUGUUGGCUGCACUCGACUGAUCCAGGAUCAGUCGAAAUGACAAAAGAAGCCACCGUGUAGACCAUAGACAUGUCUCAGAGAGAGAAGAGGUCACAACCACCAGAGAAAGACCCUCUACUAGCCCAGAGAAACCCACUGCACAACUCCUCCCUCCCUUUCUAGAUUUAUUUACUUCCUCACCUGUGGACUGUGACGUUGGAUAUUUUGUUGUUCUUUUCCCAUUCUCUUCAGUCAUGUUUUAUUUUAGUCUGUAUUUGUGGUUGAGGGUCAUAUUACAGUUUUGUUACGUUAGCAGUUUUUAAUUUAUUAGUUUGUGUAUUGUUAAAAAUAUUCCCAGAAAGACUCAUUUAGAAAAGCUCAUGUAUCCUGGAGGAAUAGAUGAUGUAUGAGUGAGUGGUAGCCUACCGGCCAGUAGAACAGAGACACGAUACAAAUAAACCGCUGCAUUGCAGAACUAUGUGAAAGAAUUCCUUGAUAGUUGCCAAUAUUAUUAGAAGUAUUGGGACGGUGACACAUUUUUAGUUUUGGCUCUGUACUCCAGCACUUUGAAAUGAUAUAAUGACUAUGAGGUUAAAUUGCACAAUGUCCGCUUUAAUUUGAGGGUAUUUUCAUCCAUAUCGGGUGAACCGUUUAGAAAUUAUAGCACUUCUUGUACAUUGUCCCCACCAUUUUAGGGGAUCAGAAGUAUUUGGAUGAAUUCACUUGUGUAAUAAAGUAGUCAAAAGUUGGGUAUUUGGUCCCAUAUUCCUAGCAUGCAAUGAUUGCAUAAAGCUUGUGACUCUACAACCUUGUUGGAUGCAUAUGCCAUUUGUUUUGAUUUCUAUUGGUCACAAAAUAAUCUGAAAUAAUGCAUUGACAUUUUGGAGCCCCUUUUUAUUGUACAUUAGUUUCUAAACACUUGUACAUGAAUGUGGAUGCUACCAUGAUUGUGGAUAAUCCUGAAUGAAUCGUGAAUAAUGAUGAGUGAAAGUUAGACGAACAAAUAUUGUAACUCGCAAGACUUGCUAACCUCUCACCAUUACAAUAACGGGAGGUUAGCAUAUUUUGUGGGGGGGUAUGAUGUUUAUGCCUCUAACUUUCUCACUCGUCAUUGUUCUCGAUUCAUUCGGGGCUGUCCAUAAUCACAAGCUUUUUGUAGUCACAAGCUUGGCGUAAUCAUUGUGUGCAUGGAAUGUGGGACCAAAUACUAAACCUCUGAGUACUUUACAGCACUUAUUUUAUAUUUUUUUUUUUUUUUUUUUUUUUUUUUUUUUUUUUUUUACAUAGUUCCCCCCUGAUUUUUAGGGGACCAAAAGUAUUGUGACAUUCAUUUGUGUAUUAAUUUAUAAACAGCACCGAUAUUGAUGACAAUGCCCUCAAAUUAAAGCUGACAGUCUGCACUUUAACCUCCAUCAUAGCAUCAUUUCAAAUCCAAAGUGCUGGAAUACAGAGCCAAAACCACUAUCUCAAGGAUGCAAUUUUGGUAUACCCAGAGGAAUAGCUGUGCUUUGCCCAAUAUCACAGUUUUACAGUGCUUGCAUUAACAGAGUUGUUGUUAAAAUAGCAUCAAUGCAACGUUAUAUAAAUAUGUCAUGUUGAAGUAAAGCCAAUGGCCACUGGCGUUAGUGGGAAAAUAAAUGGUAAUCAAUAAUUCAUUUACUGUGUACGCUGGCCCUUUUCUACAAUUAUGCAAUUUAAUACACAAUCUUUAAGGCUGGUUUGAGACUGGCUGGGUUCGAUUAUAGAGCAUUUGAUAGACCACUGAUACGGCCUCUGAGAGAAAGGUGGAGCUCUUAAAAUGUCACCUGACAUAUGAAGUGAGUGCAAAUGUAUAUGAUUCUGGGUGGAACAUCACAGGUUGCAUCUGAAAUGGCACCCUAUUAUGUAGUGCACUACUUUUGACCAACAGUGAUUUAUGUAAGGGAUAGGGUGCCAUUUCAGACACCACCAAGUUUUUAAUUUCAACGUGUCACGUUUAAAACUCACUCUUGAGAAAGCGCAUUGAGUUCACUGCUGAGCUAAAUUUAGUGGCUACAGAAGUCUGGAUGUUUUUUGCGAAUGUGUGUGUGUGUGUGUGUGUGUGAUGCAUCUGUCUUGAUAUGUAAGAAUAACCACAAGUAUCAUGUCUAGCGUUUUGGCUUUUAUUUUUCUAACCAACACAUCAAAUGGAGAUUAAUGUACCCAGGGAGAAAGACUCUGGAGAGAAUAAAUGAACCAACUCACUGCUCAAGAUAGAAACCAAGAACAGAGAAACUUCCCGUUCUUGUACCUCGUUUCUGUGUUCUGACUCGCCUCUCCUUGCAAACGAAUGGAUGCUAAUAAAGACUUGGGGAAACAUUUUCAUCUCAGACACUCUUUCACUCAUCUAGGACAAUAACCAAGUUGAAAUGCGUUCAACGUGCAAACAGGCAAGUUGAUGAUACCAAUGUUACUGAUGACUGGAUUUGCAUUGUGUAUUUUGUCCUGAAUUUGGGGAAAUGGGAAUAGGUCAAUUUGUGUUUUAAUCUCUGAUCAGGGUGUUUUAGGCAUGUACUGUCUGGCUCUGGAAUCAGCAAAGCAGCACUAAUACUCAACCCGGUGAAAAGUCAUGUAUACUCAAUGAUUCCACCUCGACAAGCUAUCCUACUCUCUGACCUUGUGCUUUUGUAAGUGCAGAAUAAAAUUGUUAUCCUGUUUUGCUCAA